rnacentral:rRNA from 1 species
CGAGGAACAGAAACCAACAGGGAUUCCCUCAGUAGUGGCGAAUGAAGCGGGAAAAGCUCAAGUUUGAAAUCUGGGGGGGCCCGCUCCCUCAGAGUUGUAAGCUGAAGAGGUUUUGACCGACGCGGCACGGGCUCAAUUUCCUUGGAACAGGAGGUCAUGGAGGGUGAGAACCCCGUCUAUGGCUCGGAUGCCGUCGUCCUUGUGUCGUUUCCUCGAAGAGUCGGGUUGUUUGGGAAUGCAGCUCAAAAUGGGUGGUAAAUUUCAUCUAAGGCUAAAUAUUGGCGAGAGACCGAUAGCAAACAAGUAGAGUGAUCGAAAGAUGAAAAGUACUUUGAAAAGAGAGUGAAACAGUAUGCGAAAUUGUUGAAAGGGAAGCGUUUGGCAUCAGCCCAUGGCCUCUGGCGAUCAUCCAGGCUUCUGCCUGGUGCACUCGUCAGUGGCUGGGCCAGCGUCAGCUUUGCCUGCCGGAGAAAGGCCUCGGGGAUGUGGCUCCCUCUGGGGAGCGUUAUAACCCUUGGCGUAAUGCGGUGCGGCGGGGCUGAGGUCCGCG